GUGAGUUCACUUUCAUGUGUUCAUUUAUAGUAAAAACAUUUGUUUUGAAAUAAUCAGCCCAAUAUCGUAGUUAUACAGAUGUAGUAUCUUAAUUUGAGCCAGUUUGCUACAGCAGGAAAAAAAUCCUGCAGCAACAGAAUACAUUUUUCGUUAGGGCAAAUCGUGUCUGACAUUUCAAAGUGGAAAUUACAAACUUGAAAAGCCUUUUUAAAACUCCAAUAUACUACAAGUUUGCAUUUCCUUCCAUGCAGAACAAUUCUCAGCAACAAAAGAGUGAUCAAAUUAGAUCAUACAUUGGGGUUACUUUGCAAACCAAGGGAAAACCAACUUCUCUCUGAGGCUAGCCGGUAUCUGACGUGGAGACUAUGACAUCCGCAGACAGUACCUCCCUCAAUUACCUCACACACGCUGGGAGGAUGGUGUUGAGCGGACUGUCCGAGCUCAACCAGCAGCUAACCAAUUUCAUAAUUAUAGUUCAUCAGACCAGAUAUAUAGUUCCCACUGGGCACAGGUGUCAUUUCAAUGUCUGGUUUUGAUUUACAUUUGGUUGAGUUGUCAACUAAUGUGAAUUCAAUGUGAAAUCCCACCCAAACAUUUACGUAAUUAGAUUUAGGUUAAAAGUUGGGUGAAAAUGUCACGUCCUGACCAGUAUAAGGGGUUAUUGGUUAUUGUAGUUUGGUCAGGACGUGGCAGGGGGUAUUUGUUUUAUGUGGUUCAGGGUUUAUUGGGAUAUGUAUUUAUGUAAGAGGGGUGUUUGUUUUAUGUGUUCCGGGGUGUUUGGGUAAUGUUCUUGUUUUGUAUUUCUAUGGUUUUCUAUGUUGUGUAUUUCUUUGUUGGCCUGGUAUGGCUCUCAAUCAGGAACAGCUGUACAUCGUUGUUUCUGAUUGGGAGUCAUACUUAGGUAGCCCUUUUUUCACCUGUGGUUUGUGGGAAGUUGUUGUUGCAUAGCUGUGUGUAGCCUGCAAUACUGUUCGUUAAGUGUUCUAAAUAAAGUUAAGAGGAGCACUCAACCCGCUGCGCCUUGGUCCAUUACGUACGACAGCCGUUACAGAAAAGACGAAAUUUCCUUACGUUGAUGACUUCUUUCAAAUCCAAUCAGUUUUCCACAUUGAUUGAACAUCAUCACAUUUACAUUUUCUAUUGAUGUGACAUGGAAACAACAUUGAUUCAACCUGUUUUUGCACGGUGGGUCACCUUUAGGCAGUGAUUCCUAGGGUUUAGUUGAAAAGUUUCAACGUCAUACAAGCCAAACAGAGGUC
rnacentral:lncRNA from 1 species